rnacentral:rRNA from 1 species
AUGAACGCUAGCGGCAGGCUUAAUACAUGCAAGUCGAACGGGAUUAGGGAGCUUGCUCCCUAUGAGAGUGGCGCACGGGUGCGUAACACGUAUGCAACCUACCUCAAACAGGGGGAUAGCCUUCCGAAAGGGAGAUUAAUACCGCAUAAGAUAAUAGAGUGGCAUCACUUCGUUAUUAAAUAUUUAUAGGUUUGAGAUGGGCAUGCGACUGAUUAGCUAGUUGGCGAGGUAAUGGCUCACCAAGGCAACGAUCAGUAGGGGAUCUGAGAGGAUGACCCCCCACACUGGUACUGAGACACGGACCAGACUCCUACGGGAGGCAGCAGUAAGGAAUAUUGGACAAUGGGGGCAACCCUGAUCCAGCCAUGCCGCGUGCAGGAAGACGGCCCUAUGGGUUGUAAACUGCUUUUAUACGGGAAUAAACCCCUCGAUGCGUCGAGGGUUGAAGGUACCGUAAGAAUAAGGAUCGGCUAACUCCGU